rnacentral:rRNA from 1 species
GACGAACGCUGGCGGCGUGCUUAACACAUGCAAGUCGAACGGAAAGGCCCUGCUUUUGUGGGGUGCUCGAGUGGCGAACGGGUGAGUAACACGCGAGUAACCUGCCCUUGACUUUGGGAUAAAUUCAGGAAACUGGGGCUAAUACCGGAUAGGAGCUCCUGCUGCAUGGUGGGGGUUGGAAAGUUUCGGCGGUUGGGGAUGGACUCGCGGCUUAUCAGCUUGUUGGUGGGGUAGUGGCUUACCAAGGCUUUGACGGGUAGCCGGCCUGAGAGGGUGACCGGCCACAUUGGGACUGAGAUACGGCCCAGACUCCUACGGGAGGCAGCAGUGGGGAAUAUUGCACAAUGGGCGGAAGCCUGAUGCAGCAACGCCGCGUGCGGGAUGACGGCCUUCGGGUUGUAAACCGCUUUCGCCUGUGACGAAGCGUGAGUGACGGUAAUGGGUAAAGAAGCACCGGCUAACUACGUG